rnacentral:rRNA from 1 species
GAUGAACGCUGGCGGCGUGCCUAAUACAUGCCAGUCGAGCGAACAGACGAGGAGCUUGCUCCUCUGACGUUAGCGGCGGACGGGUGAGUAACACGUGGAUAACCUACCUAUAAGACUGGGAUAACUUCGGGAAACCGGAGCUAAUACCGGAUAAUAUAUUGAACCGCAUGGUUCAAUAGUGAAAGACGGUUUUGCUGUCACUUAUAGAUGGAUCCGCGCCGCAUUAGCUAGUUGGUAAGGUAACGGCUUACCAAGGCGACGAUGCGUAGCCGACCUGAGAGGGGAAUCGGCCAAACGGAAACUGAGACCCGGUCCAGACCCCUACGGGAGGAAGCAGGAGGGAAUCUUCCGCAAGGGGCGAAAGCCUGACGGGGCAACGCCGCUGGAGUGAUGAAGGUCUUCGGAUCGUAAAACUCUUUUAUUAGGGAAAAACAAAUGUGUAAGUAACUAUGCCCGUCUUGACGGUACCUAAUCAGAAAGCCGCGGCUAACUACGU